UACGGAGGGAGCUAGCGUUGUUCGGAAUUACUGGGCGUAAAGCGCACGUAGGCGGCUUUGUAAGUUAGAGGUGAAAGCCCGGAGCUCAACUCCGGAAUUGCCUUUAAGACUGCAUCGCUUGAAUCCAGGAGAGGUGAGUGGAAUUCCGAGUGUAGAGGUGAAAUUCGUAGAUAUUCGGAAGAACACCAGUGGCGAAGGCGGCUCACUGGACUGGUAUUGACGCUGAGGUGGCGAAAAGCGUGGGGAGCAAACAGGG
rnacentral:rRNA from 1 species